rnacentral:rRNA from 1 species
AUACGGAGGGGGCUAGCGUUGUUCGGAAUUACUGGGCGUAAAGCGUACGCAGGCUGACCAUUAAGUUAGAGGUGAAAUCCCGGGGCUCAACCCCGGAACUGCCUUUAAAACUGCUGGUCUGGAGUUAUGGAGAGGUAAGUGGAAUUCCUAGUGUAGAGGUGAAAUUCGUAGAUAUUAGGAGGAACACCAGAGGCGAAGGCGGCUUACUGGACAUAUACUGACGCUGAGGUACGAAAGUGUGGGGAGCGAACGGGAUUAGAAACCCCAGUAGUCC